rnacentral:lncRNA from 1 species
AUUUUGUUUUGAACGCAUAUUGACAGCACGCUUUACUUAGUAGCCGGUUCCCAUUUGCCAUACAAUGUAGGUUCUGCUUAAUGUAACUUCUUUUUUGCUUAAGCAUUUGCAUGACUAUUAGUGCUUCAAAGUCAAUUUUUAAAAAUGCACAAGUUAUAAAUACAGAAGAAAGAGCAACCCACCAAACCUAACAAGGACCCCCGAACACUUUCAUACUAAGACUGUAAGUAGAUCUCAGUUCUGCGUUUAUUGUAAGUUGAUAAAAACAUCUGGAAGAAAAUGACUAAAACUGUUUGCAUCUUUGUAUGUAUUUAUUACUUGAUGUAAUAAAGCUUAUUUUCAUUAACAAUUUGUAUUAAAAUGUGGGUUCCUUGAAUUCUUACGUGCUGUUUUAUUUUUUUGAGACAGGGUCUUGUUUUGCCACCCAGGCUGGAGUGCAGUAAUAUAAUCUUGGCUCACCGCAGCCUCAACCUCCUGGGCUCAAGCAAUCCUCCCAUCUCAGCCUCCCUAGUGGCUGGAACUACAGGUGUGUGCCACUAUGCCUGAAUAAUUUUUAAAAGACUUUUUGUAUUGAAUGAAUGGGUGUGUGAUGGAAAAAAAAUUUUUUUUGCAGAGAUGAGGUCUCACUAUGUUGCCUAGGCUGGAUCCUGGGCUCAAGUGAUCCUUCCACCUUAGCCUCUCAAAGUACUGGGAUUAUAGGUGUGAGCUACCACGCCUGGUGUAAAGAAGUGCUAUUUUAAAUAAUCUCUCAUGAAAGUGUUUGAAAUGCUUGUUCCCCGGUGCCGUGAAGAAAUAGCACUUGAACAUAAAUUUAAUUUACUCAGCAAGGCCAUUUUUACUUCCCGCAGAAAGGGUACAUUCGCCAGCAGUUUUGCCACGAGAGUACACCGAACAAAGAGACAGGGUCAUUUGUAACCUGAUGCGUCCACCCUACUGCUGUGUCCGGUUUCCAUUGGCUGGAACGGGACCUCAUAUUCUGUAUUUGUCCUGAUUGGGAAGCAACUUAAAACUUUUUAAAAGAGGCGAAGGCAGAAGAGAACAAAGGAAGGAGAAAGUAACUUGUGGAAUGGUGAGAAAGGCAUGAGGCGAAUUCUCAGCCAUGACAAGGCUGAAGGCCAGCAGGAACAGGCUCUAGCGAAAUGGGUGCUGUGUCCCCUUCCUGCAUGUGGCAGAAAGUUGCAAAGGGCGUUUGGGCUGGGGAAGGGUCCUGUACACUCGCAACAGGAGGUGUAGAAUGAGCCCUGCAUUGAAUGUGUAAGCAUCCAAAGCUGUCACUGAGGUGAGAAGAGCCUUCAUUGGCAGCCUCAAAGAGAAAGGUGUGCUUGGAUGUAUGCACUGGACAUGCCACCUAGGCCUACUGGACAUGC